UAACAGCUAGCUUCAGAGAUUACCA
rnacentral:piRNA from 1 species